UCCAGUAUGGUGUAGCGGUAAAAUUGGUGCCUCUCACGCACUAGCCUGGGGCUCGAUUCCCCGUACUGGAA